UGAGGUUCUUCCAUAUCUCCUACUGUGUACC
rnacentral:piRNA from 1 species